rnacentral:rRNA from 1 species
CUGCAGCCCGAGUGGUGAUCGAUUUUAUUGAGCCUAAAGCGUCCGUAGCCGGACUAGUAAACCCUUGGGUAAAUUGGGCAGCUUAACUGUCCAAAUUCCGAGGGGACUGCUAGUCUUGGGACCGGGAGAGGUCAGAGGUACUCAAGGGGUAGGGGCUAAAUCCUGUAAUCCUUUGGGGACCACCAGUGGCGAAGGCGUCUGACUAGAACGGAUCCGACGGUAAGGGACGAAAGCUGGGGGCACGAACCGGAUUAGAUACCCGCGUAGUCC